rnacentral:rRNA from 1 species
CUCAUGGACGAAAGCCAGGGGAGCGAAAGGGAUUAGAUACCCCUGUAGUCCUGGCCGUAAACGAUGAACACUAGGUGUCGGGGGAAUCGACCCCUUCGGUGUCGUAGCUAACGCGUUAAGUGUUCCGCCUGGGGAGUACGCACGCAAGUGUGAAACUCAAAGGAAUUGACGGGGGCCCGCACAAGCGGUGGAGUAUGUGGUUUAAUUCGAUGCAACGCGAAGAACCUUACCAGGGUUUGACAUCCUGCGAACCUCUUAGAAAUUUGAGGGCGCCUUCGGGAAUGCAGUGACAGGUGGUGCAUGGCUGUCGUCAGCUCGUGUCGUGAGAUGUUGGGUUAAGUCCCGCAACGAGCGCAACCCACGUUUUUAGUUGCCAGCAUUUAGUUGGGCACUCUAGAAAGACCGCCGGUGAUAAACCGGAGGAAGGUGUGGAUGACGUCAAGUCAUCAUGCCCCUUACACCCUGGGCUACACACGUACUACAAUGCUACGGACAAAGGGCAGCAAACUCGCGAGAGCUAGCAAAUCCCAUAAACCGUGGCUCAGUUCAGAUCGUAGGCUGCAACUCGCCUACGUGAAGUAGGAAUCGCUAGUAAUCGCAGGUCAGCAUACUGCGGUGAAUACGUUCCCGGGCCUUGUACACACCGCCCGUCACACCAUGGAAGUUGGCCAUGCCCGAAGUCGUUACUCCAACCCUUGUGGAGGAGGACGCCGAAGGUGGGGCUAAUGAGUGGGGUGAAGUCGUAACAAGGUAACCGUA